AUGCUAACAAGAAAGGAGGAAAAAAAUACCUCUUCCUCCCUCCCGGUCAACCCUUCAGGCCGCUCUCCGGCCGGCCUGGCAGCGGCGAGCCCAUCCCCCCGCGCCCUCCCAGCCCAGACGUGCGACUGGUACAGAUUAAAAAUGUUGAGGCUGCUGUAUUUCCAGGAAAUCAGUUUGUAUUCAAGCACUCUUACACUCAAACCCAUGAAAGAAAGCCAAGAUCUUCUCUUUUUACCACGUCAUCUUCAGAAAGGGGGAGUUUUGAUAUCAUUUGUGGAACACACUGAGUCCUUGAGAAUACACAAUGGGCUCCCCAACAAAGGAGGUGGCAGAUCCAGAGGAAGUGAAACUUUCUGUGGGGGAGAAAAAAAAUAAUAAAGUGGGUUAAAUCUUUCUUUUUCCUCUUGAGUCCCUCUUUUCUGUAUUUUGUGACCUGUGUGGUAAUACCAGGUCUGGAGUAUCCCUUUAUCACUAAAAGUUACAGUGGAUAGCAUAAGGUUCAGAUUUAAAACACCAUGGAGCGAACAAUUCAGGAAAAUUCUGCUUUAAUGCCUUAAGGAAGUUGAGGGCCAGAAACCAACAAUGAUGAGGACUAAAGAUUUAGCUAGAAGUCAUAUACAAUCGCCGGGAGGGUCCCUUGAACUUUUCUGGACCCCUCCUAAGUCCAGAAAAGUCACAGUGGCAGUAGCCAGGGGUUGUUAGUGGCAUCAGAACCCACUUCUAAUGAGACACAACUAACAAGCAUUGAAGCUAAUUUCUUUCCUUAAGUGGUUUUGAAAUUUGAUGCAAGUACUAGUGUUAUGGGGGGGGGGCGUGUGCCCACAGCAUGUGGAAGUUCUCCAGCCAGAGAUCAAACUCAUGCCACAGAAGUGACAAUGCCAAAUCCUUUAACAACUAGGCCACCAGGGAACUCCAGUACUAGUGUUAUUUUAUAUCAGUUAUUUAUUUUGUUAUUUUAAAUCUUAUAUAUACUUUUUUAUCUUAUUUUAAAUUUUGUCUUACUUGAAUAUACUCAGUAUAGGAAGUUGACGUUACUCUCUGAGCCCCCCCGCCUUUGUUCUUAAAUAAUAAAUACAGCUCCAGGAGGUCUCAUCAUAGCUCAGCAGUAAUGAACCUGACUAGUAUCAGUGAGGAUGUGGGUUCCAUCCUUGGCCUCACUCAGUAGGUUAAGGCCAAAAGGCCAGAAGCUGCAGCUCCGAUUCAACCCCUUGUCUGGGAACUUCCAUAUGUCGUGGGUGCGGCCCUAAAAGACAAUACAUAAAUAAAUAAAUAAAUAAAUAAAGCUCCGUUCUUUCUCUUUCACAGGAAGUAUUAAUGAUAAGCUGUGUUUUUAACAAAAGAUUAAACUUGCAGAACUCUCUGAUGACAAACUAAGUGACAAAUUUAUUUAUUUAUUUAUUUAUUUUUGUCUUUUUGUCUUUUUUGUUGUUGUUGUUGUUGUUGCUAUUUCUUGGGCCGCUCCCGCGGCAUAUGGAGGUUCCCAGGCUAGGGGUCGAAUCGGAGGUGUAGCCACCGGCCUACACCAGAGCCACAGCAACGUGGGAUCCGAGCCGCAUCUGCAACCUAUACCACAGCUCACGGCAACGCCGGAUCGUUAACCCACUGAGCAAGGGCAGGGAUCGAACCCGCAACCUCAUGGUUCCUAGUCGGAUUCGUUAACCACUGCGCCACGACGGGAACUCCAAAAUUUAUGAUCAUAUAACCAGAACGUUAUUCACAUCUUAGUCUAAAUUGCCAGUGUUCAAAUAUGCUUUCUCCAUAUUCAUUUGAUCAGGGAACAACAAAAGGAUAUACGACCUAAUUGUUUUGUUGGUGCUUUUCUCUCUUCCGUAGUUUUAUUUGAAUUACAGAAAUAUUUCAGUUCCUAUCAGCAAUUCUAACUCUUCAUUUUAAAGUACAUACCUAGAAAUUCAAAGUGUAAAUACCGGCGAUGUUCUGCUUAAGGGUAACUAACUACCCAUCUGUGACACUAGGAAAUGAGGCUAUCUUGAGUUUUGAUACUGCCACCUUCAGGACGCAAGUCUUUAUUCUGGAACUCUGGAAUGGUAAAAAAAUUAAAUCUAAUUAAAUUUUAAAAUAGUUCCCCCUCCCCCUCAAAAAAAAAAAGAGUUGUCAUUUAUUUAACACAUACUUUGCACCAGGCCUUAUGCUAAGAAGUUUUUAAAACUUUUUUUCCACUAUUCCUUUAAGGUAAAUCCUUAUUUAUGGAGUCAUUCAUUCAUUUGACAAGGAAAUAAACAGGGGACUGAGACAAAGAACAAUGAAAAGGUAUAUUUAAGUUGGUUUGAUUUAAGUCAACUUUGAUUUCUGUUAAUUGUUUAAAGAGCUAACCACAAAAAGAGGAGGAAAAGGUCAUUUCAGAGAAGGGGUGCCCAUACCAUGGCUCUCUAUGGGGGAAUCUUGGCAGGUUCAAGAACUAGAAAGCCAACCCCUGUGGCCCUUGAGCUGAGCAUGAACAAACUUGAGGGAGUUCCCGUCAUGGCUCAGUGGAAACGAAUCUGACUAGUAUCCAUGAGGAUGCAGGUUCAACCCCUGGCCUUUCUCAGUGGGUUAAGGAUCCAGCGUUGCCAUGAGCUGUGGUGUAGGCUGGCAGCUAUAGCUCUGAUUCGACCUCUAGCCUGGGAACCUCCAUAUUCCCUGAGUUUGGCCCUAAAAAGACAAACAACAGGAGUUCCUGUCGUGGCGCAGUGGUUAACAGAUUCGACUAGGAACCAUGAGGUUGCGGGUUCGUUCCCUGCCUUGUUCAGUGGGUUAAGGAUCUGGCAUUGCUUUAAGCUGUGGUGUAGGUUGCAGACGCGGCUCGGAUCCUGCAUCCUGCUCAGCUGCAUUGCUACAGCUGAGAUUAGACCCCCUAGCCUGGGAACCUCCAUAUGCCACUAGAGCUGCUCAAGAAAAAAGGCAAAAAGACAAAAAAAAAAAAAAAAAAAAAAAAAAGGCAAACAACAACAACAAAACUUUGAAUAAUCACACUUCAAAUUGGACACAUAAGCAGAGACCAGAUCAAAAACCUGAAAUUUGAUUUCUAAGCUAAAUGUCAUGAAAGACCCUGUAAGGAUUUUAAGCAGGGAAAUGCUGUGAUAUGAUUUACAUUGUAUUAUCUUUUGCUCCUACAUGGAGAUGGAUGUUUAGAGAUCAGUUUGGGGGCUGUUAAAGUAAUUGAGUCGAGAGAUGACGGCAGCACAAAAUGUGAUGGCAAUAAGAGGUGCAGAAUCAGCAAAGGAAACCAAAAAGAAAACAAAAAGACAACUUACAGCAUGGGAGAAAAUAGUUUCAAAUGAUGCAACUGACAAGGGCUUCAUCUCUAGAAUAUAUAAGCAACUUAUACAACUCAACAGCAAAAAAACCAGUCAAUCAAUGGAAAAAUGGGCAAAAGACCUGAACAGACAUUUCUCCAAACAAGAUAUACAGAUGGCCAACAAACACAUGAAAAAAUGCUCAACAUCGCUGAUUAUAAGAGAAAUGCAAAUCAAAACUACCAUGAGAUACCACCUCACACCAGU
rnacentral:lncRNA from 1 species